AUCUCUGUAGAGUCUGCAUAUCAAUAAGCGGAGGAAAAGAAACUAACAAGGAUUCCCUUAGUAACGGCGAGUGAAGCGGGAAGAGCUCAAAUUUGAAAUCUUCAAGGUUCUACCUUGACGAAUUGUAGUUUAAAGAAGUGUUUUCUGUUAGUGGAGUAGGCAAAAGUUCUCUGGAAUAGGACAUCAUAGAGGGUGAGAAUCCCGUAUUUGGUUAUUCAUUCUAGCUUUGUGAUACACUUUCAAAGAGUCGGAUUGUUUGGGAAUGCAGUCCAAAAUGGGUGGUAAAUUUCAUCUAAAGCUAAAUAUUGGCGAGAGACCGAUAGCGAACAAGUACCGUGAGGGAAAGAUGAAAAGAACUUUGAAAAGAGAGUUAAACAGUACGUGAAAUUGUCAAAAGGGAAGCGUUUGACACCAGUGUUGUUUUUCCAAAAAUCAAUUACGAAUGGCUUGAUUUUGUGUUGUAUUGACCUUAUCAGCUUUCUUCACUUUUUUCGAGUCUUUCUUAAUGCACUUUUUGGUUAACAAGUCAACAUCAAUUUCUUUUGUUGUAAAAGAGUAUUCGGAAGGUGGCUUUCUUUUCGGAGAAAGUGUUUAUAGCCCUAUACUUCUACAAUCGGAGAGAUUGAGGUCUGCAGCGUAGAUCCUUCGGGGUUAGAUACACUUGUGCUAAGUUGUAGCUUUUCAUAGACAACUUGUUGACUAUGUUUAGUCAUGCGGCUUACUCGCUUGUGCUAUUUUACCUACGCUUAGGAUGUUGACUGAUAUGUAGUCGUA
rnacentral:rRNA from 1 species